UACGUAGGGUGCAAGCGUUAUCCGGAAUUAUUGGGCGUAAAGAGCUCGUAGGCGGUUUGUCGCGUCUGCUGUGAAAACUGGAGGCUCAACCUCCAGCCUGCAGUGGGUACGGGCAGACUAGAGUGCGGUAGGGGAGAUUGGAAUUCCUGGUGUAGCGGUGGAAUGCGCAGAUAUCAGGAGGAACACCGAUGGCGAAGGCAGAUCUCUGGGCCGUAACUGACGCUGAGGAGCGAAAGCAUGGGGAGCAAACAGG
rnacentral:rRNA from 1 species